rnacentral:rRNA from 1 species
GACGAACGCUGGCGGCGCGCUUAACACAUGCAAGUCGAACGGAAAGGCCUGCUUUCCCUUGUGGAUUGCGGGUACUCGAGUGGCGAACGGGUGAGUAACACGUGAGUGAUCUGCCCCCAACUUGGGUAUAAGCCUGGGAAACUGGGUCUAAUUCCCGAUAGGACUGCAGGGUGGUGCCUGUGGUGGAAAACGAUUUUCUAGUGGUUGGGGAUGAGCUCGCGGCCUAUCAGCUUGUUGGUGGGGUAAUGGCCUACCAAGGCGGCGACGGGUGGCCGGCCUGAGAGGGUGGACGGCCACAUUGGGACUGAGAUACGGCCCAGACUCCUACGGGAGGCAGCAGUGGGGAAUAUUGCACAAUGGGCGGAAGCCUGAUGCAGCGACGCCGCGUGGGGGAUGACGGCCUUCGGGUUGUAAACUCCUUUCGACCGCGAGGAAGCCACCUGGUUGGAAGGGUGGUGACGGUAGUGGUAGAAGAAGCACCGGCUAACUACGUG